AGAUGAUGAAUUUCCUUCCUUACAGAAUAGAUGACCAAUAAUGGAGCAUCUCCCAGGAGCUUGAAUCCCAAAAUCAUAGCUCUGGAUGGCAAAGUUGUGAGGCUCAUUGAAGGUAAUCCAGUUUUUCACUCUAUCUCCAAAUGCCUUGAAGCAGGUGUUAGCAUAAUGCUCAAAGUCCUCUCUGUAAAUGACCUCUUAUAUUAUAAAUGUUUGUUAUGAAAAACCUUACUGAAUAGUGUUUCUGCAUCAACUAUAUGCAAAUGACCAAAUUCUGCUAGAAUGCGUACUUACAUAAUUUUCUUGUCCAACCAGCCUCCAUACUUGUCCUGAAGCAUCUGCGGAAGGUCCCAGUGAUAUAAAGUCACAUAAGGCUUGAUUCCUGAUUGAGAUUGGGUUAACUCAGUUAUUUUUCUGUUAUAUAUAUCAAUGCAGAACUUCUAAAGCACCAACCUUUUUCUAGCAACCCAUCAAUGAGUUUGUUGUAAUAUGUUAUGCCUUCUGGGUUUAGAUUCCCUGUUCCAUCUGUUGCAAUAAAUUUUCAAAAGCAAUCAGCUAUAGAUAGAAGAACAUUGCUAAGAAACAGAAUUGAUUUUUACUUUCCAUAACUUACUUGGAAAGAUUCUUGUCCACGAGAUGGAGAAUCUGUAGGCAUCCAUUCCCAAAUCUUUCAUCAACCCUAUAUCAUCCUGCACAAAUAUGUAAUUUCACAGCUUGUCAAUAUUAUCUUCACCUGAUUGGCCAUUAGUUGAAGUAACCAGGUCAGACAAGGAAUAAAAACUGAUAAAAUUCUAUCUGCAUUUCCUUUGUUUUUUUCAUUCGUGAUUUUUUUGCUUGUAGGACGGUGACAGUGACACAUCAUCAGCAUUAUCACUAGCUGUCGUUAUAAUAUUUGAUAUGUGGGACAUGUGGUCUUCUUCUCUUAGUUUAAGAUUCUUAUCCAUCUCAAAAUUCUUGAUUUCUUUGUCCCUACUCUUUUGGCCGGUGCCUCUUUCAUUUCUAUGGAAAGAGUAGUCCUGAAUGAACUAGCUUCUCACACGUUAAGACUUUCCCAAAUUCAAGUAUAAUCAGUCAUCUUUACUUACAAGUCUAGGAUUCUCGUACUUUUUUAUCUCUGUACUGACAUAAUUCUGGGGAAAAAAAAGAUGGAAAUAUUUAAUUACCUGAAACCUGUGGUAUUGAUCAACAGCGAUAUCAGCAUUGCUGAAAUCCAAAAUUCUCCCUUCAGGCGAAGACAACCGGUGAAGAAGUAAGUUCCUUUUUCUUGUAUAAAUUAAUCUGGCAUUUUCCUCAAAGGUGAUGAUCACUUACCGGGCUUUCUUGUGAAGGUAUCCCAUAUGCUAGCUCCUUUAUUUCCUUCGGUUGCAGCUCCUUCAAACUGAAAAUGGAGAAAUUUGAUUAUCGAUAUGCUCUUCUUCAAAAACCAGACAGCUUCAGGAACAGUUUUAUUGAGUUGAGAAGGAAAGAGAACUUGAUAAGCAGAAGAGGCUGUCCCAAAGAUGAACCCAUCAGGGAAAUGAGCUCUGCUUAUAGAUUCUGGGGUAACAAGGUGAAGAAUUGUUACGAGAAGG
rnacentral:lncRNA from 1 species